AUUGAACGCUGGCGGCAUGCUUUACACAUGCAAGUCGAACGGUAACAGGCCUUCGGGCGCUGACGAGUGGCGAACGGGUGAGUAAUGCAUCGGAACGUGCCCAGUCGUGGGGGAUAACUAUCCGAAAGGAUAGCUAAUACCGCAUACGAUCUGCGGAUGAAAGCGGGGGACCUUCGGGCCUCGCGCGAUUGGAGCGGCCGAUGUCAGAUUAGGUAGUUGGUGGGGUAAAGGCUCACCAAGCCAACGAUCUGUAGCUGGUCUGAGAGGACGACCAGCCACACUGGGCCUGAGAACCGGGCCAGACUCCUACGGGAGGCAGCAGUGGGGAAUUUUGGACAAUGGGCGCAAGCCUGAUCCAGCAAUGCCGCGUGCAGGAAGAAGGCCUUCGGGUUGUAAACUGCUUUUGUACGGAACGAAACGGCUCUGGUUAAUACCCGGGGCUAAUGACGGUACCGUAAGAAUAAGCACCGGCUAACUACGUGCCAGCCGCCGCCGUAAUAC
rnacentral:rRNA from 1 species